CGCGGCGCUGGGGGGCUGGCUCGGGCGGCAGCGGCGGCUGCUGCGGAUGGGAGCGGACCAGCGAGGCGCGCCCAUGGAGCGCCACGGCGGGGCCGCCGACGCCCCCGCCCCGGAGGCUGGGGUGCCGGCGCCCGGGGCCCCCGAAGGGCGGCGGCGGCGGGAACCGCUGCGGCGCCGGGCGAGCAGCGCGUCGGCUCCGGCGGUCGAGGCCGCGGCGCAGGGCGUGAGGCGGGUCCGGCCCGGCUCCUACAGCGGCCCUGCCUCCGGGACCCGCCCGCGCGCCGAAAGCCUCCGGAAGAAGCGGCCGCUCUUUCCGUGGUUUGGCUUGGAUAUUGGUGGAACCCUGGUCAAGCUGGUUUAUUUUGAACCCAAAGACAUCACUGCUGAAGAAGAAGAGGAAGAAGUGGAAAGCCUUAAGAGCAUUCGGAAGUACCUGACCUCCAACGUGGCGUACGGCUCCACGGGUAUUCGGGACGUGCACCUGGAGCUGAAGGACCUGACUCUGUGCGGGCGCAAAGGCGACCUGCACUUUAUCCGCUUUCCCACUCAUGACAUGCCCGCCUUUAUCCAGAUGGGCAGAGAUAAAAACUUCUCGAGUCUCCACACUGUCUUUUGUGCCACUGGAGGUGGAGCGUACAAAUUUGAGCAGGACUUUCUCACAAUAGGCGAUCUUCAGCUUUGCAAACUGGAUGAACUAGAUUGCUUGAUAAAGGGGAUUUUGUAUAUAGACUCUGUUGGAUUCAACGGACGGUCACAGUGCUAUUACUUUGAAAAUCCUGCGGAUUCUGAAAAAUGCCAGAAGUUACCAUUUGAUUUGAAGAAUCCAUACCCUCUGCUUCUGGUGAACAUUGGCUCGGGGGUUAGCAUCUUAGCAGUAUAUUCCAAAGAUAAUUACAAGCGGGUCACGGGUACCAGCCUUGGAGGAGGGACUUUCUUUGGUCUCUGUUGUCUCCUUACCGGCUGCACCACUUUCGAAGAAGCUCUUGAGAUGGCAUCUCGUGGCGAUAGCACCAAAGUGGACAAACUCGUGCGAGACAUUUACGGCGGGGACUACGAGAGGUUUGGCCUGCCAGGCUGGGCUGUGGCCUCGAGCUUUGGAAACAUGAUGAGCAAGGAGAAGCGGGACGCUGUCACAAAGGAGGACCUGGCCAGAGCCACUCUGAUCACCAUCACCAACAACAUUGGCUCCAUCGCGAGAAUGUGUGCUCUGAAUGAAAACAUUAACCAGGUGGUAUUUGUUGGAAAUUUCUUGAGAAUUAACACGAUCGCCAUGCGACUUCUGGCGUAUGCUUUGGAUUACUGGUCCAAGGGGCAGCUGAAGGCACUGUUUUCGGAACAUGAGGGUUAUUUUGGAGCCGUCGGAGCACUGCUUGAAUUAUUGAAGAUCCCCUGAUUGUUACCUGGGGAAGGGUUUCUGGAACUUCCCAUGAUGGGACCUGUGGACUUUUUUUAAGACUCAAUUUUGUGAAUGUACUACCUGAAUCAAAGCGAGAAAAGACAAGUGUAUUUUUCUAAGUCAUCAAGAUGAAUCUUAAAGCAGCCAGUAAGGAAAGGCAUCUAAAGCAAAAGAAGUAAGUGGACCACAUCCCGGUAGUGCAAGGAGUUGCUGUAUCCAUGUUGCUUUUCAGCAUAGCGCUGUCAGCUGUUACAGCUGCGUUGUCCUUUGGAAAUCUCAGCAUCACUAGAGGUACUUUGGGGAAAGCUGUUGUGCGUAAGGCAGGUUACACUGUGCUGUAAUCAUGGACUGUCAGCUUGGCCGUGAAGAUCUCUGGGCACUGCCGUCGGCACCUGCCUUCGUGUGAACACACUGGAAGCCUGCAGCCUUUAUAGUAUAGCAGGUUAACUUUAUACCCGAAACUUGACAGGUCCUUUCGGAAGGGCAGUUUCACCUUACUGCACAUGUUCUGGAACAGUCUGGGAAGAUAAAACAUUUGCUGUGGCAAUAGCUCCAUCUUCUGGUGGGAGUGGGUGUGGUGAGCUGGGAGACAGAGCACAUUCUAGAAGAUGAACUCUGGCCAGCAGGGCUGCCAGGAGGGACACCUCUUCAGGGUGCACAGUUGUUCCAGGCUGAAUAGAAAAGGAGGAGUGGACGUGUCUGGAUUCCUGGGAGCUCUGGGCUCUGGAGACUGUGGCCACAGUGCAUGCUGGACCCCCCUCCAGCCAGCCUGGUUGCACUUGAACAUCUUCAAAGCCACAGUCUCACCCCCCUUUCUGCCACCUCACCACCUCCAGCCUGGUGUGUACCAUGCCUGCAGCCACUAUUGCCACCCGUCAUCUCUCAGUAGGUGUGCCUUUUAGUGUACCACAUGGUACUUGAAGGGUCUUACCUCCCCCAAUGAGUGUUGUGGGGCUUGCUGUGUUGGGCUACUAUGUGGGUGCAAGCUGGCUCUGUUGUGGGAACGGGCAUUUGAACAUCCAAGGUUUCAUGUGUCUGAUGUUGAUACACCAAGUAGGCAUUGCAUAUUUGGGUUUGAGAGACAGCUGAGGAAGAAGUCACUCAGUUGGGAAAAGGGAUUUAUUGAAUGCUAAGGAGGUGGGACAAGAUGGUGGCAGUGACAAGGCGCUGGAGACCAUGUCUCCACCAGGGAGGUGUAGGGGAGAGGAUGAAGAGGCCCGGGAAGACAGGACCAUGGAACAGAAUAACAGCUAUGGGGGCAUCCUUGGGUAUGUGGAUGACUGCUCAGGGGCACGUGGGACUGCAGGACUGAGGCUAGGCCGGUGGGGAUGCAACUCCACUCCUACCUGUAUUUUGAUUCCUUGGUUCUCUUCCCUGGGGCCUUCUCACUACUAACCAGCGCCCCCCCCCAAACACUCACCUUGACUUUGCAAGUCUUGCUGUUAAUGUGUGAGGGGCCCCGUUCCCUCGGUGUGUGGGUGUGAGGGUCCCAGCCCCUCGGUGUGUGGGUGUGAAGGCCCCGACCCCUCGGUGUGUGGGUGUGAGGGGCCCGGCCCCUUGGAGCUGAAAGGUAACUUGGUCAUCAGGUUUUUUUUUCAAAAUCUGCAUUUUAUUUACACCUUUUUGUCAAUUACAUGCAUGUCAUUUUUUAAAACAGUGAUUAGCAAAAAAUGCAUUAAAUUUUAAAAUAGCAAUUAAAUAUACAAAAAUAUAGCUUACAAAAGACUGCGAAUGUUUAAAAAUAUUCUGCUGCAGAAUUCUUCGUGUACAAACACGUCUAUGAAACCUGAGGCUCAGAAUUCCAUAAACCUUUUUUUUUUUUUUUUUUUUUUGAGUUAUAUAACAUCUAGUGAAUAAACUGCAGAGGGCCCGCUGCAGGACUGGUUGGUGUCUCCACUUCUAGAGACGGUGUCCCCGGGGACAUGCUUAGGAGAGCAGGCUCUCAGCAGGAGGCCAGGCCCGGGAGGGAGGGGCAGGCAGGGAGGAUGUGCAGUGGCUACAGGCACCGGGAGCCAGGAAAAGCCUGAAAGCCAAGAACUUUGCCUGUCCUCAGUGAGCCUGCAGUGUAGGUACAGUACUGCCCUGGAGCCUUGAGGGGGUACGCCCUGACCCCCAGCCACAGGCCAGAAGAGCAUACAGCUUGGAUCUUGCAGUAAUUUGAGCUCUAAACCUGAACUGGGAGAAGAUGAUCAAGCAAGCCCAUGUUUCUUCCCUCGACCUUCCCACUCAAAUGGAAGCACUCCACGGCACAUGAGCUUUGUUACAGAA